rnacentral:misc_RNA from 1 species
AAGUCGUAACAAGGUUUCCGUAGGUGAACCUGCGGAAGGAUCAUUAAUACGUACUUUCACGUAUCACUCAAUCGUGGACUUGUCCCGCUUUUUGUGGAGAGUUGGAGGCGAAAUUUGUGGUCAUAUUUUACCAGCGUGGGGGAGGGACUAAGCUUAACGGCUUUUUUUCUCUUUGUCCUGUUCGCCGAGGGUUAAUAAAUCGAACGCCAACUUUUGAUCGGAAAGACAAGUGCAGCUUGUUCUGCAUGCAUCUCCUGGUCAGAGUUGUUCGAUUCGACUCUUUACAAAGCGUUUUUUCUUAAUCCAUGCUGGGAAUCAAUUAUUUUUACCCCAAGUACUAUUAUCAAGAACUAAUUGUGUUUUUUCUGCUUCAUUGCGGAGAAAACGCCAAAUACCGAAACUUAAGAACAACUCUUAACAACGGAUAUCUUGGUUCUC